rnacentral:rRNA from 1 species
AUGAAGCUCUUCGGGGUGUAAACCACUGUUGCCCGGGACGAAACUCCUUUUUCGAGAGGAUUGACGGUACCGGGUGAGGAAGCACCGGCUAACUCUGUGC